AAGCAAUGAUGUAACCAGAAUUUCUUCACCUGAAUGUCACUGUGUGGUUCUUAGAGCUUUUUAACCCUGAGCAGU